AGGAUGAACGCUGGCGGCGUGCUUAACACAUGCAAGUCGAGCGGAAAGGCCCUUCGGGGUACUCGAGCGGCGAACGGGUGAGUAACACGUGAGUAAUCUGCCCCUAGCUCUGGGAUAGCUCCGGGAAACCGGGAUUAAUACCGGAUAUGACCACUUUAGACAUCUGCUGUGGUGGAAAGAAUUUCGGCUAGGGAUGAGCUCGCGGCCUAUCAGCUUGUUGGUGGGGUAACGGCCUACCAAGGCGACGACGGGU
rnacentral:rRNA from 1 species